rnacentral:rRNA from 1 species
UACGUAGGGUGCAAGCGUUGUCCGGAAUUAUUGGGCGUAAAGAGCUCGUAGGCGGUCUGUCGCGUCGGCUGUGAAAUCCCGAGGCUCAACCUCGGGUCUGCAGUCGAUACGGGCAAACUAGAGUAUUGCAGGGGAGACUGGAAUUCCUGGUGUAGCGGUGGAAUGCGUAGAGAUCCGGAAGAACACCGGUGGCGAAGGCGGCCCGCUGGGCAGGAAGACGGGGCAACCCGUCGGCUGACACUGAGGCGCGACAGCGUGGGGAGCAAACAGG